GAUGAGCAUGCGUCCCAUUAGCUAGUUGGUAAGGUAACGGCUUACCAAGGCAACGAUGGGUAGGGGUCCUGAGAGGGAGAUCCCCCACACUGGUACUGAGACACGGACCAGACUCCUACGGGAGGCAGCAGUGAGGAAUAUUGGUCAAUGGGCGCAAGCCUGAACCAGCCAUGCCGCGUGCAGGAUGAAGCGUCUAUGGUGUGUAAACUGCUUUUGUACGAGAAGAAACACUACUUCGUGAAGUAGCUUGACGGUAUCGUAAGAAUAAGGACCGGCUAACUCCGUGCCAGCAGCCGCGGUAAUACGGAGGGUCCAAGCGUUAUCCGGAAUCAUUGGGUUUAAAGGGUCCGUAGGCGGUUUUGUAAGCCAGUGGUGAAAGCCCAUCGCUCAACGGUGGAACGGCCAUUGAUACUGCAAGACUUGAAUUAUUAGGAAGUAACUAGAAUAUGUAGUGUAGCGGUGAAAUGCUUAGAUAUUACAUGGAAUACCAAUUGCGAAGGCAGGUUACUACUAAUGGAUUGACGCUGAU
rnacentral:rRNA from 1 species